GUGGAAUAAAAUGAGCUUGUCAAAAUCUUUGGAAUUGUAAUGCUGUAAAGGUUGAUUUAGGUUUUAUUUUCUGCUACAGCUAGUCACAGCUACAGUCGUAAGGCUAGUGCUCAUCCUAGAAUGUUGGACAGCAGCGUUGAGCUAACCAACUACUGUCCUCCUGACACUGUUGAGACUUUCCUUGAAGAGCUAAACCACUCACAGGGUGAUGACUUGGAUGAUCAGGAAACGGCACCAGCACCACCACGGGCCUCUUCAGACUGGUCUACUCGAAAAAGUCUCCUCUCAGAGAGGUGGGAGAAAGAAAGAGCCUGUCUGGUGAAUACCAUGGUAGCACAACAAAAUGUGACAACUCAGAUCUGCCAACAAUGUGGCAUCAGUCCAGCUGCUGUCCGUUGUCGUGACUGCAGACCACAACCAUUUUUCUGUGCUGAUUGUGAUGUCAGUAUACACCGAAACCACGUAUUCCACAACAGGGAUGCAACAAUAGCUGGAUUCUUUCAGCCAUUGCCUCCAACAACCUGUGUCGUGGAGAGGGCUCUUUCCCAGUGUGUGUGUAUUGUGCCGUUGGAGAUGCCCAAAAAAAUAUGUAGUUGUUCUCCAGGAUCGUUGAGUGUCAACACAGGAAAAGUUGUUGCUGUGGUUACAAUGAAUGGACGAUAUGAUCUCAGUAUGCCUGAGAUGAAAUGCGAGGCAUGCAAAACCACAUGGAGCCCGGGAGUGGAUGACUUAGUCCGUAAUGACUACUGGCCUGCUACCCUUCACUUUUCCACAGUGUACUCUACAGAUGUGUUUUAUUCAUAUGAAGAGUUGAAGAUGGCAGCACCAGGACUGUCAUGCCAAGCAUUUUUAAGAAUGCUUGAUCAACGAACUCUCCGCUUUGGCCGUGUGAGUAUUAGUGGUGGGAAUCACUAACAACUAGUACUAGUAUUAACGUGUAUUGUAGAAUGACUAUGGUGACAUUAUCAACACAUUGAUUAUUAUAAUUGGAGCAUGUUGAUGAUAUCAAAACACAGUGAUUUAGCUAUACACGAUACAUUGACAGAACGUCAUCUAAUAUUCAAAAUUUUUGUGUAAAAACUACCGCUCUGUAAAAAAAUCUAAAUUCGUACACUAAAUGUAAAAAUUUUUUGGUUGUGAUGUUUUCUGUCCGUGACAUACAAAGAGCCAAAAGAUUUCCAAUGAUGCACUGGGCUGAGCAGCUGCCUUUGGAGGCUCGAUGGUGGAGGAUUUGGCGUCACCUUUGACCUUACUGACUUUAGUUUACUGUGAAUUAUGUUGGCAUGUUUUAUUGUUCUGAAACAGAUUGGGAAGAUCACAGCAGACAGCUUCAGAAAAAGUUUUUUGGAGUGGGAGGCUGUUAGAUUUGAGGUGGAUAAGAUCUGCAGGGAGGAGCAUUUUGUCUGCCCUGCAUGCACCCCAGACAUGCUUGCUGUUUCUGUGGAUGGAAAUCGCAAGCACUACCGCUUUAAGAAUGCAGCAAGGUACUUUCAAAAUGUGUGUAAUUUGCAGUGUUGUUAAAGUAACCUUGGCUGUGUCAUAUUGAAGGUCAAUGUGUAUCUUUCUUUCAUUUAGAUCUGAAGAAAAAGCCUUAUUUGAUGGCAUCUUCAUUGCAAAAGAUGAUGAAGUAGAGAGAUUUGUGGAUUACAUUCAUUCUACCACCAACCAUGUAAACUUGUUUUAUAAUAUUUCUAAAAAAAAAAACACCAAUAACAUCUUGACAUUGUUUGGGUGAUUCCUUACUUUUUAUCACAACCUUUUUCCAUUUUGUAGGUCUCUGGAAGAGGUGUCUGUGGAGGGGAGUGGUCAGCUGCAAGGGAAACGUCUCAGAAAUCCUCAAGUAAAAUUGAUGAGGAGGGACUUGAGCUUGCAGUCUGUCGACAUGGAGUUUUUCUCACCGCUCUCAACAUGUUCAGGGGAGAAAUAUAUGCUUAUCCCCUCUACCUGCAGAACAAGCUGGCAAAUACGCCAAUAAGCUUUUUUGCCAUGGAUGUAACCUGCAAGUACUGGCCUUACCUCAACAAAGUCACAAAAAGCUGCCCGGAGCUCCAGCACCUUCUGAGCAUGAAACCAUUCCUCUCAGUGUUUCAUGCCAAAGCCCAUGAUUUUAAAUGCGAGGUAAGAAAACAUUACAAUGUCAUUGACUGUCCCUAAACACCUGCAAAGGAAUGUUGGCAGCUUUUAAGUAUUUUCUUCAAUAGGUUAAAUGGAGUGGAGCUUACCAGCAAGGGGCCGGAUUGACACUUGGCGAGGAGGUUGAGCAGUGUAACGCCUUCCUCUCUAGGA
ensembl:lncRNA